AUUCAAAUUCCAGUGGAGCAACGGCAGAAAUCCGAGGAAACAUCAUAUUCGACGGGUUUCCUUCAACAACGUUACGAGUCAUCAGAGGAGGAGCCUAGUGAAUAAGUGUGAGUGUGAAGCUGUAGGCCUGGAGACCCAACUGCACGCUCAGACCUGCAAGCUCAGACCUGCACUUCUAGACCCAUCGUUUUCUCAGACAGUACCACCUGCUGUUGGGUUGGGGGAGGCGACAGCGACGGAGGCCCAACUGCACGCUCAGACCAGCACUUUCUAGCAAGCAGCAACAUCAAACAUGCAGAGUCACUGGCCAGCUGUUUGGAACCAGUAAUACAGGAAAGUCAGAGAGAUCAGAACUGCAAAUACCAGUGAAGUUACCAGACAAGGUGCUGUUGUUUCAGUUUGCCUGCUGUAUCGAUUGUCUACACAGCAAAUAAACAGAGCAGUAUGCACUGAG
ensembl:processed_transcript